rnacentral:lncRNA from 1 species
GAACGGGUCCCUUCUGGUGCUUCCCGUCCAGUUAGCACGGACGGUCCAAGGGGCUAUAGGUCCUUUUGGGCAAAAACUGAGGGAAUCAUGACUGCGCACACCUGCCCUGGGGUUGUGGCCCUUCUCCCUGGAGACCUGGCCUUUUCCUCAGACCCGUGAGAUGCUACAUUCUAUUGGUCAUCUCCGUCUGUCCCGCCAGCAGGAGCCCUGGGUGUCCCCCACCUCGCACACACUAGGAGGAGUGCUCACCCGCCUUCGGAUGGUCAAGUGCCGUCACCUGGCCUCUGGGGUUUGGGCUCCUAUCAUCCCCACUGCUAUGGGAGAGCCAUGUGCACAUGCGUGUCUGUGUGAGCGUGCAUGCAUGUGCAUGUGCGUGUGCUGAUAAACUGGAGGAAAGUCCCGUGCAUGUCUGUGUGUGCGACAAUCAUGAGAAUCCUUCCACUACUGGGGGGGCCUGUGUUGUGUGUCACGGUCCCCGUGGGAUGAAGGGGAGCUGUCUCUCUGUGCCUGUGUCUCUUUAAGUGGCAGUACACAGCAGGUGCUCCAUAAAUGCUUAUGGAAUGAAGAAGUGAAUAUAUGGAAACUGGGCUGGAGCAGGUGUCUGAGGACCUGGUCCCGCAUCAUGCUUUCUCCAGAUGUCUGUCUGUCUCUCUGUCCGUGCCCCCUAGCCUGUGGUCCCCUGCUCAUCCCAGCGCAGGGCCGGGCUCUGAGUGGGGCUCACGGAAUCACUGGUGCACGAGGCAAUGAGCGAACAGAGACUCUAGUCUGGGGCGUGGAGGGGAGAGAUCCCCCCAGAGGAAACCCCCCAGGGCCUGCCCUCUGACCCAGGUCCAAGGUGGUGUCUGUGCUGAGCUCUGGGUGUGGGGGCAGGGCAUGGGCUUUGGGGCCAGGCCCAAUCCCGACCUCGGGGAAGUGGCCUCCCCUCACUGGGCCCCGGGGAGCCUCUCUGUAAAAUGGGAAGCCCGGUCCCACUGACUGCUCCAGUCUGCAUGGCCCAUGGUAGGUACUCAGUGGAUGUUUGUUGAAUGACUAAAUGACUGAAUGUAGAUCUAUACUAGCUUUUCCUAACAUCGGCACUGCCUGCAGAGGAGAGCCAACACUGAGCUUCCUCAUGGUGCUGGUGCCCUCUCCCCUGCUGGACUUGAGGUGUCCACCUGGCCCUGGGGGGUUUUCUGGCCUUACUUAGUAUACCCCCUCAAGCCCACCCACCUCUCUGAGUCCUUUCAUCCCUCUUUCACUGUCCGCCACGGGAACUCCAGCAUCCCAGCCUCCCCAGCACGGGCAUUCCCACGCUUGCAGGAGUCAGGCUGGUGGUGAGUUUGCACCACCUCCUGGUGCCCUUGCCCGGGUGUGAAGUCCUGUAGCCCACAAGAGUGACCCCGAAUGCACAGACUCUCCUUUAUGCAGCCUUACCUGCUGCUCCCCUUGCUCAAACGUGCUCAGCAUCCCAUCCCAUGUGUCUCAGCUCCUGCGCGUCGGUGCUGGCUGGGUCCUGCAGCGCCAUCGGGGUCUAAUUCCUUUCUUCCCUUAUCAGCCCCAGCACGUCCCCAGCUGGCCUAUGACGUAAUUUCACCCUAGCCACAGGCCUAGUGGCAAGGAGGGGUGGAGGAGCAGGUCCUGACGGGGCCCACGUGACCACCUCCUCAUCCUCAAGCAGGGGGGCUGCCAUUUCUCCCUAGGAAGGAGCAGAACCUUCUGCAGCCUCGGAGAGUCCAGAGGAAUCUGGAGAUCCAAGGUUUUCACGGGCAUCGGCUUGGAUGUCCCCAGCCCAUGUGACAAGGUCUCAUUCUUUCCCAAGCGGAGUGCGUCUUGGCAAAGCAGACCUGCCUCGGUUGGGAGUUUAACCAUCCUUGGAGCUCGUCUGGUCUGACUGUUAAGUCCUGGGUCCCGUCCUCAGUUUCCCCUCCCUCCCACUACAGCUGGGCCCUCCUUAUAUACUACUGGCUUUCACACUUAGUUUUCAAUGAGCAAUUAAUUUCUCUCUGAUUUUUAUUAUCUUUUUCCAAAGCAUCCUUUGAGCUUAGCAAUAGCCACCCAAUUCCAUUGUCCAUUAUUUCUCCCAUUUUCUCAAAUGCUUGAUGGGGCACACCAGCCAGUGCAUUUCUUUCCCCUGGUUUACCCUCCCAAUUCACCUGUUGGAGCUUUGAAUGCUGGGCCCCCUUCUGCACACCAGCGGCUAUGUGUGUUCCACCUAUUUCCACCUAUGACCACGGCCAGCCAGGCAAGGCGUGGUCCAGCUGCCACCUCCCAUCUUAGUGCCUGCUUCCUCCAGCCACACCCGGGACCAACAGGUGCACAUUGGGUUCUCCGGGAAACAGACUCUGAGAUAGAAUUUAAUGAACAGAUGUUUAUUAAGGAGCGCCCUUGCCACUGUGGAAGGAUGGAGAAGGAAUCAGGAUUAGGCAGAGGAAAAUGUGUAGUUCUGAUGAAGACCCGAAGACAGCCUGGGCCAACCCACUGUGACCUCUGGAGCCAGGCUGAAGACAAGAUGGCCAGGGCUUCGUACCCCUGUGUCAACCAGUCAUUGGAUGUGGGCACCCUGGGUGGGGCAUGACAUCAGGUGAGGCAGCUAUCUGUGGCUGAGGCACCCCUGAAGGGGCUGGCGGCUGAGGACUGCGCCCCUAGCAGCUGAGUCAAGGAGUCCUUCAAUGCAGGAGGAUCUAGACAGCAUGUGACAGUAUCCACUACAGACUCCCUGGCCCAGGGCAUCCAUGACCACGACUCUGGACCAUGGUCUGCAGCAUCGCUGCCGCCCAGAGAUCUGCGGGUGGAUGCAGAGCCCUAUCCUCACCCCCGCAUCCACUGACCAAGGCUGUGGGCAAAGGUGACUCUGAGUUGAGCGGGAAGCUCACUGGCGCCGCAUUUCACGUCCUCAUCCCCACAGUGUCUCACGGAUCUGAUCUGCUGUCUGGAAAAAUCUGCCAAAUAUACUGACAUUGAGAAGCGGGUGGAGCAGGUGUCAGAGGCAGCCCUGGGCCGCGCGGAGGGCCAGGUCCCCUCCUGCGAUUUUGACAGUAAGCCCUGCUCCCCAACCUUGGAGGCUGGCAUUACCCUCAACAUCACUUGGUCAAGCUCGUUUCCUGGCACAACAAGGCAUUUGGCCGCAGCAACCACAUGGCAGACCUCAUGGUCUACGCAGACUGCCAGGAGUCAGAGCCUUGACCUCUAAUGCCAGCAACAGCCUUUCACCUUUGUGGAGUCCCUGCCACGCCACCAUCCCCAACACACUGAGACUCUCCCAUCCUCUCCCCAGGGCUUCUCAGCUGGGGGUGGUUUUGCCCCCUAAGGACAUCUGGCAACGUCUGGAGCCAUUUUGGGUCGUCAGGACUGGGGUGGGGGGAUGCGCUGGCAUCCAGCGGGUCGAGGCCGGGGAUGCUGCUCAACAAGGCACAGGACAGCCCCUCCUCCCCAACUAAACAUUACCUGGCCCCAAAUGUGCUGAGGUUGACAAACUGUCUCCCGCACAGUUCCCACCCCAGGCUCCCGAGGACGGGGAGGGCCGUGGGCUCCUGUCACACUCCACCAGUACCAUCAUAAAGUCUCCGCCAGGCAAUCGGGGGCAGCAUGGGGGAGGAAGGAUGUGGGUAUUAGUCUGGGAGUCACAGCAGAAAAGAUAUUCUCACGUCGGUUCAUGCCAGCAGAGUUUAUUAAAGAGACUGUCUACAAUCAUGGACAGAGGUUAGGAAAACCAACAAGGACAGUGUAGACCGCAGAGGCUGGUGGCUCCCAGCUCUGGCCAGAUGCAGGAGGCGUCGUGUGCCAGGACGGCUACCCGGAGGGCUGGCUGACCGCAGCUGACCCAAGGUAACGUGGAUGGAGGGAGGCUGGAAAUAUUACCCCAACUUCUUUCUCCCCUGCCCUCUGGGCUCCUGCAGCGGCUCCCUUUAUCUGAGCCCAGCCAAAGUCAGAUACUAAGGGCGCCCGCUGGUCCAAUCCACGUGGGACCACAUGGACCAGACUCCUGGGGGGAAAAGCAGAAAUAGAAUACACAAGUAACACAAAUUCAUCGCGGACAAGCUAAAGAAACCCGUCAUGAUCACCCAGAGAAUCCACCUCAUUAACCCCAGGCAACCCUGUUACCAAUAACUUCGCCUUCUAGACUUUCUUCAAGGCAGAGACGCAUCUUCCAAAAGGGAACACGCAUGGUCUUCCAAAAGGGACCUAUUCCGCUUAAUAUACUGUGAAUGUCUUUCCACGUCAACGUUCUUCCAGGCCCAAGACUAGUUAAAGUGUCUUAAAAUAACCUACUAAAAAUGCUCUCAAGAUGGUACAUUCGACUUCUUUUUUUUUUUCUUCUGCUUUUAUCUCCCCAAAUCCCCCCUGUACAUAGUUGUAUAUCUUAGUUGCAGGUCCUUCUAGUUGCGGCAUGUGGGACGCUGCCCCAGCGUGGCCUGAUGAGCGGUGCCAUAUCCGCACCCAGGAUCCGAACCAGUGAAACCCUGGGCCGCUGCAGCGGAGCGCGCAAACUUAAACACUCGGCCACGGGGCCAGCCCCAUUUGACUUCUUGUCCAGGAAAAAAUGUCAAAUGUCUUACACACAUGUACAGGAAUACACGCCCAGAAUUACAUGUGGGCUACAAGAAAUACCAUAUAGUACAAACGCCUUCAAACCCUUUGCUCUCCCCGAGAUGUGAUCAAUAUUCUGAAUUUUCUUUAAUCAGUCAUUAUUCUGAAUUUUCCAUUAAUCAUUCUCUUUUCUUUCAGGUUUAUCAUAUAUAUAGGUAUCCUGUGAUAAAAUACUACUUAGUUUGUCUAUUUUAAACUUCGAAUAUAAAUGGAAUCAUAGUAUAUGUAUUAUUCUCUGAUUUGCUCUUCUCUCACUCAGUGUAACAGUUUGACGUUGGUGCACGUCCUCGUGGUUUAUAAGUUGGCACGCUGUGCGGUACUCAGUAGGAAAAUGCUGCAUUUAUCCAUUCUACCGCGAGGGGCACAUUUCUGUGUGUUAUUACCAAGAACGCUAUGAUGAACAUCGGUGUACACACCCCCCGUCAUACUUGUGUAAAAGUCUCUCUGAGAAGACACACACAACUAGGAGUGGAAACCACAGGUUGUAGCAUAUGCAUGAUGUUCACACUUUCUAGAAAAUACCAAAUGGUUUUCAAAAGGGCGGUGGCAAUGUGCACAGCUCCCAGCAAAGAGAGUACAAGCCACUCCACAUUUUCACCAGCACUUGCAAACGAUCAGAGUUUUCAUUUAAAAUUUCUGUCUUUCUGCAAUGGAAAUUAGCAAUUUGCAGUUCCCUGCUUACUAAUAACGUUGUGCAUUUUUUCAUGUUUCUGGGCCCCUGACAUUUCCUUUUCUGUGAAUCGUCUUUUGCCUUCAGCCCACUUUUCCAUUGGCUUAGCUGACUUUUUAUUGAUGUGGGAGUUCCUCAUAUGUCAUCCACACUAGUCCUUCGGUCCUACAUAUUGCAGAUAUCUUCCCCUUGCUCCACGGCGUCUGAACUCUGUGUGUCUUUAAACGAACAAGAGUUAAAUACUCAUAAUCGAUCAAGACUUCUUUCUCGUUUUCAAUUUUUCUCUGUCCCAGUUUGGAAGUUAUUCACGAUUUCUAUCCUUUUAGUGAUUGCCCUGGCAUUUUCCACUUGCCAUUGUUUCUUAAAGCCUAAAAUGAUUCUAGAUGUUACCCAGUUGACAUUUUUUAAAAAGACUUGUCAGGCAGCCUGAACCAAGACAAUAAGAAGACGCCUUGCUGUUUUCGCGGUUUCUAUAACUCACAUUCGUUACCGGUGCUCCCGGCAGUGUUGAUCUCUGGCGAAGAGGCUAAGAGCUUAAACCUUCAAUUCUCAAGUUUGAUGAGGAGCCUUGAGACUCCUUCCCAGCGAACUGCUCGGAGCAACACUAAGAGGCCAGUGAGGGCUGCACGCCAGGCCCUUGCAUCUGUGACUCCAUCUUCCGGGCCCGGCCGAUAGCAAGCUCACCUGAUGAGUAUGGAAAGGGGACCCCACAGAAACAGCAACGGAAAGUUCAAGAGCUGGAUGGCUCAGGACUGAAGCGGUAAGGCCAGCUGAUCCUCUGCUAGCCGGAGGGGACACAGAACCUGCUUCUCCUGGAAGAGGCACGACCGUCCAAAAGCAGCGCGAUCAGAACUUCCUUCUGCGCCAGAGACCCGAGCACGAAGCUGACUGUCGAACCACGAGCACAUCCCUGCGACAGGUGGUUCAAGGUUCAAGGUAGGGCGGGUGCAGAUCUGCGCUUUGAAGCACAUUUCAGCUACGUAAACUGAGAAGCAGCAUUUUGUUGCUCAGGACCUGCACCCGCACCCACGGAAGGGCACGUUUCAGAAUCAUCAGCCGGGGCGGCACCUCGGGUCCUUCCCCCUCCAGGAGGCUCCCAGCCCGGCGUUGCGCUCCUGAGAAUGGGGAGCAGGUCCUGCCAGUGGGUGGGCUUGCAGACGAGACGGGACUCCAGAACCCGGAGCUGUGAGUUGACAAUAUACUGCUGUGGAUCCACAAACAGUUCCAAAUAUUAAUAAGAAUAAAAGGGGGUCUGCAUCGAGGGAAUACUGUCACACAGCAUUCCGAGCACUGUGUAUGUUCCAACUGAUUAAACCCUCAGAAAAUCUAUGAUAGAUUUGGGAUGUGUGUGUCCAUUAUCCCACUGCAGAGAUGAGGCGACACAGGCACUGAGAGGUUGAGGAGCCCACCCACGGCCACCCCGGGAGGUAGCCGGGGAGCCCAGCUCAGCUCCCAGACAAGCUGACUUCACCACCCUCUACCACUCAGCACCUUCUAGCCAAGAAAGACGUGUUUUCUGACCAUCAAAUCGACACUGUGUCUAUACACCAAAGGGUAAGUGAAGAACUGGGCAUUUUACUCAGAAACAAGGUUAAAGAAUAAAAGUAAAAAUGUAAAAACCAG